AACGAACGCUGGCGGCAUGCCUAACACAUGCAAGUCGAACGAGACCUUCGGGUCUAGUGGCGCACGGGUGCGUAACGCGUGGGAACCUGCCCUUAGGUUCGGAAUAACUCCCCGAAAGGGGUGCUAAUACCGGAUAAUGUCUUCGGACCAAAGAUUUAUCGCCUUUGGAUGGGCCCGCGUUGGAUUAGCUAGUUGGUAGGGUAAAAGCCUACCAAGGCGACGAUCCAUAGCUGGUCUGAGAGGAUGAUCAGCCACACUGGGACUGAGACACGGCCCAGACUCCUACGGGAGGCAGCAGUGGGGAAUAGUGGACAAUGGGCGAAAGCCUGAUCCAGCAAUGCCGGGUGAGUGAUGAAGGCCUUAGGGUUGUAAAGCGCUUUUACCCGGGAUGAUAAUGACAGUACCGGGAGAAUAAGCCCCGGCUAACUCCGUG
rnacentral:rRNA from 1 species